AUCAUAUUCAAUGGAAUAUUUCCAAUAAAUUAUACAACAUAAAAUGUUUAAAAAAAAAAAAAAAAAAAAGAGCGCACACAUUCGUAUUCACAAAUCUGGUGACCAUUAUUAGUACCUUAUAGCAUUUAUUACAUAUAUUCUGCAGCACUGUACAACUGGGGAAAAAGAUGCAAUAUACAUGGAUCAACAGAUAGAUAAAACUUAAACCAGG